CUUGCCUGUACAACGCUUUUUUGCUCGUUAUUAGCGUGAUGUGUGACACAGGCGUUGGUUUUAUAAUCGAAAGGAUUUGUCUGUAAGUUACGACAGUGCGACAGUACAAUGAGCGCCAGCGGCCGGGCUGCGGGUGUUAUAGGAUUACAGCUGGACUACAACUGUGGAUACCGCUUUAUCAAACCUUAAGCUGCUUGGGCUCAAAGGAAAAUGCCGAUCCAUCGUGUGCUAUUAACAACAUCUCACAUACUUUGUUGAAUAAUUCAAGAUGACCACAAGUUCUUUGGAUCUGUCGUUGCUGGGAACAGCGAUCCUGCGAAGUGGCACUGGUUGCCUACCAGCU